AGCCGCGGCUGCGAGCUGACGCUGCGUUUUCACAUCGCGACGUCACGGAGCAGCACCGCACCGCUUGCGCGGGGCUCCCGGGGAGAUGCGCGACCCGAAAGCAUCCCGAGGGCUGAGGGAAACCUCGGCCGGCUCCGAGCUGUCGGCACCCCGGCCCCACGCGGAAUCACAGCGGGUCACGCUCCCUCGCCUCGUCCUGCCCAGCCCCUGCACACGCACAUGCCCACAGCACGCACGUUUCGCCACGGCACCCGGAGAUCAGGCGCCGGGUCAGAACUCGAGCGCUGUUUUCUACCUAGAGAGCGAAUCGGUCAACUAAACUGUGCUUCCCUUGUAUCCCGUCGCGUCCCAGAGUCGCCGGUCACUGGCGUCUGUUUCCAGAUGCCCCCGAGUUCUCGCUAUUUGGCGGGGGCUGUCAGAGCUGUUGCAGGUCAGCAGCUUGGCAGGAAGACACUGACUGUUCCUGUUUGCUGGAGGGAUCACAGCUUCUGAAGAUUCCCUUUUAGACUCAGAGGGCCUUAAUGGACAAGAUUGAUUUUCACUGACAUCAAAAUUCCUGCACUGCCAAAGGAGGGGUUGGGUAUGGCUGUGGCAGAUGCAGAAUGGAAGGCACAAAAAGCCGAUACAGAAAAUGCCUUGCUGAUCACAGUGCCAGUGAGACGCCGAAAGAAGCUUCUACAUUAAUGGCUCGUUACCUUCUUUCAGAGAUAAGUACAGGUUUUGGCAUUUGUUUAGCAUCAGCAGCUUCUAUGCUAGUGCAGGAGCCAUGCUCUGCUGGCACAGUGGAUCUUGCACCUGGCAUGCAGAAGCUGAAAGCACCACAGCUAUAUUUACAUAGGUCUGUAACUGUUCUCAAACAAGGGGAAUUUUCUAUCCUCAUUCACAUAAUCAUAAAGAGAGGGACAAAUGCAGGUAAGAGAUUCCAAUCUCCAUCCUAUAGUAAUUCCCAGGCUCCUUCUGUGAUUAACAAAUAGAAAUACAUAAGUUACUAUGCACAGUAAUCAGACCUGAAGUGCUUGAUGACAGGAGGAGUGACAGCCUACGCUUGACAUGGUAUUUCAUGUAAGGCAUAGAUGCCAUCUCCUAGGAGUGCUCCUCCAGUUCUCUUGUUUUUCCACAGAGUUAUGCUCCUAGGGCCUGAGAAGAAUGUCUUUACUUUGUUGGUGUACUGCACAGCAAAAUGAACAAACAAAAAAGCCUAUUAAUACUUCUGUUAAUCAGUCUUACAGAGCAAGAAAUGUUUUGAUCCAGACAAUAAGCAGUAUUACUUGCUGGUAGCAUUGUGAGUAUAAGAUCAGUAAUGAAGCAGAACAUAUAAGUGCUUACCUGGUCAAACAUGAUAUUUCUUUUUCUUCCUAAAAUAUAUCAGCCCAGAGUGAGCCUAGCAGCUUUCUUUGAUAAAUGUAUGCUACUGAAAUAGUCAGUGAUGGGGUAGAGAAAGGAGCAACCUGGAAAGAUCCCAGUAGUCUACAAAACAUCUUGAAUGAAACAAUUGCUUGUCCAAAAGGCAAUGAUUUGGUCAAAUCAUUGCUAUUGUGAGGUUGUGGGUUUCCUAUUACUGUCAUUGUGGCAUUAAUACACUGAGAAAUUCAGAUAGUUUAUCAGCAUCCAUUAAGGAAGGGAAGGAAAUAAGGACAAAAGCCUGUUGUUUAUUUAAGGUUGUGUUUUAUUUAUCCUCUGGCUUUUAAAAGCCUCUUGUUUUAUGUGCCGUGUGGGCACAGAGGUUUCAAUUUAAAAACACUACCACUAAACCAAACAACCAAACUGACAAAAGUCAUCUCAGAGAGAGCAGAUGAGAUGUAAAAGCAACUCAGUACUCACAACACUCGUUGAAGUAAAAGCCUUCCACUAAGGUCUGAAGGACAAUGACCUCAAAAUCAGACUGAAUGUGGAAACUGUGACUCUGGUGAAGAGGAUGUUCUUACUUUGGCUCUUUGGAGUUAAUAUCUAUGAACUCUUAGCAUUCUGGGUUUCUCAGAUGGAAGUUAAGAGGAUGUGAAGGAUGGUGGGAUAUGACCGCACACCUUUGCUUACUACCACUGUGCUAGCAUUAGGGCACCAUGAAGCAAUGGGCACUUACACAUACAAUACAAGUUAAGAAUAAGCAGGAAAGGUAGAGAUAAGACAAAUAAUUCUACUCCUGUGGCCUGACAAGUAUAAAAACAUGUGAGCUUUCUCCCCAGUACUAUCAGAUUUUCCAGGCUUUUUUUCCUCAGUUCAAGGCUCACAUAUUUUCCUUUUGUUAGUUGAACUCACAAAACAGCAAAAUAUUGCAACUUUCCAAAAUGGCUCAUUCAGCUAUUAUUACUGUUAUUAUUUUAUUAUUUCCUUUCCUGAUCCAUCACUGUCAGAAGGACUGUGCUGAGGACAGACUCAGUUGAAUAGCAAUAGCUACUAAACCACUCCUCCGCAAGGCUCUUCUGCAUUUGUUUGCACAGGCAGCUCGUCCUUCACCACCACCCAAAUGCCCAGCCCACUUUAUCAGGCUGAUACUUAGAAAUCCCUACCUCUGCUCUGAGGAGAGAAGAAACCCUUUCUGAACUGCUAGUCCUCAGCUUCACCCUGUGCUCCCUGGCCACACCAUCAGAAACAGCUUACUUGUUAUGGACAGCAGUAGAAUUCUACGUGUAGUGCUGAGAAUUUAGGGAGUCCUGCCAGCUGCACAUUGCAGGUCCAAGAGACUCAGGCAGUACUCCAGUAUUGUGGUCCUAUUCUAAUAGGACAAUAAAUAGAAGCACACUCUCUAAUGCUAGUCCUGCUAAACAAGAAUGUUAAAGCAUUAAGGAAUCUCUUAUUUGAAAAGAUCUUGAAUAUCGCUCUCAGCCAACAUUGAAAUUCUCAGUGGUGGUCAAAUUGUUUGGUGUCUUUUAUCAAACAGAUACUUUCAGGGUGCUGGUACUGCAAUGAGUUCUAUAGCAUUGCUUUGUCAACUUCAAUUAAUAUCCUGACAUUUUCUCACACAGCUGGCCCUGAAGAUUGUUUUUUUUUUUUUUUUACCAUUCUGCAAAGCUGUCUUUUCCAGACCUCUGUGGGGCUGAGGCUUCAGAGUGGUGUUGUGAAAACCUCCCUUUUGUGGGUGACCUCAGUGUCACUUGGAUACUGUGAUGAGUGAGGAGUGACCAUCCCUCUUCAUCUGUGUUACAGUGCGAACACGUAAUGCAUUUGCCAUCAUAUUGAACAUUAUCUAUAGAGUCAGCAGUUUUUCAGAAUUACUACUAUCUUUGUCUCUCACAGCUAGACUGGUGUAUAUUACUAAAAAACAAGAUGAUCAGAUGACCUGAAGACACAGAACAACUUGGAUGGAUGAACAGGAGACCACAUCUCUGCAAAUCACUAUGAAUCCCCAAAUACACAGCCCUCAAAUGUGCACAAAUCAGCACUUCCGUAGAAUUUAGCUUCAAAAGAGGAGACUUUUCCAGUCAGACUCUGUAUUAUUAACCAAAUCAGUGUUUCUGUUUUCUUUUGUAGAACAUGUUGAGAGCAGGCUGGCUCUCACUACAUAACACAGAUGUAAGUAUUUCACAUUGGUCUUGGUGGAUGACUGCACAUCCAUAGGUGCAGGUGGGUUAUAUAUGGAUGAAUGGGCAUAGUGUUCCUGGUCAAUUUACCAGUGUAAAUUGGUGGAGCUCUCAGGGAAGCGAUUGCACCAGUUUGCAAAACAUCCUUGCUAUGGAAGGGUCCUGCAAAGUUUUUCCACACUUCGUGGAGGAAAUACUGAAAUAUUUGGAAAAGAUGAAGAGGGAGGCAAAGAGCAGCCCGGGCUCUUUUAAAAUCCUUUUGCCACAAACAAAAGUCGUACAGCAUUUUUCUGCACUCUGCCCUGUCCAUGAACACAGAGCAGCAGCCAAUUGGAUUAUAGCACUGCUGAUUACUUAUGAUUUCCUUCCUGUGAGGACAGGCCCUGAUGUGUUGUUUUUUGAUAACACUGGCUCCUUUAAAGCAAUAAUGGUGGUACAGUUUCCUGCCUAAUCGUAGAGCAAUUAUUGUACCUCAAAAGGGAAAACAUUUAGAAGAACACAGUUUUAGUUCAGAAGUGAUAACGGCAACAUUUUUGUGCAAGUCUGUGAUUACAUUUGAGGUCAUUCAACCACCUUUCAUGGCAACAUAUGACAAAAAUCAAAGAGAAGAGAGGCAAAGGGUUGCUCUUAUCUACCACCAUCCUAUAUGAUCAAGAUUCCCUGUUGCUUGCAUGGUUUGGGAGCUGGGAUUUUGCUCAUGCUCAUCAGUUGUAAUAGCACAUGGAGUAUUUUACCUCCACAUCUAUAAUUAGGUGUGAACAGCAGUUGCUCUGAUUUUCAGUAAUUCAUGUUAUUGGAGCUAGUGACCUUGGCCAAAGUGGCUGUUUCCAAAAGGAGAGGGCUGUCCUUCAGUGGCUUGGGAAGAUGUUGCUAGAGCUGCCUUCACCAGCUGGUAAAUACAUGCCUAUUUUCAAAUGAAUUAGGCAAAUUAGCAUCAGAACAAAAUCAGAGCUUAAGGGGCUGUGCAUACACAGCCUUCUCACAUCAGGCGGUCUUACUAGGAUGGGGCUUGCAAAGAAAGUAGAAAGAGACUAAAGCAGUGUAGUCUCAUAUGUGCAUCUUCUUGUAAGGUAGCAAUUUCACUUAUGAGUCCAGUGCAUCUCAGAAAUAUACAGCAGUGGUCUUGCAACACAGGAUGAAAAACAGUGCCAGUGUUUGAAGUUAAUGUACUGGUAGUUGGGUCUUUCCAAAACUUGUACUUUGAGCUUAGUUUUUACACUGGUCUUACUGUAUUGAGUGUCAUGCCAUUUGGCCCAACAUUUUCUCAAUGACAGAACUACUUUAUUUAAUUUUAUGGUGUCAAUUUUUAAAAGUCUCAUUCUUUCAAUCUUACCCUCACAAAAGGUUAUUCCAGCAGAGCAAUUUCACCAAAGACAGUACUAGUCUGUAGUUCUGAAAGUGUACCGGCAACCAGAACAUCUGGUAAAAAAUAAUCUCACUAUAUAGCUAAAUUUGUACAACAUACAACUGAAAUCUGUUGACUUUACCGUGGUUGGCAUUUCCUCCCUAGUUCUGUUCCUAGCUCUACUUCUCCUCAGUGUGCAUCUGGGAAACAAUGUUUUUAAAACCCCUCGUUGACCUGUUCUGGUACUCAACUGACUGCAGAAAUGAAGUCAGAAAUGUGGCACAGUUUGCUUGGACUCCUGGCACAUUUUUGGUGCACUCAGGCAUUUCCAAGCUGAGGCUGAAGUGUGUGCUUCCAACCUCCUCGCUGGAGAACUCUCUGGAUACAAAGGGUGUGUGUCCAUGGUGAGAGAAGCCCUAUCUCACUGAAGUAGAGCAGAGAAAGGAAAUGACUCAGUCAUCAAAAGGCCCUCCUUCCUCAGGGAACUAUCCUUAAUCAGUAUUAUCCCACUACAAUAACACUAUUUCAGAAGGACUGUGAACCAGAGCACUGCGUAGCCAUGUAAACUGCUUCCUGUAUUUGCCAAACAAAACAGCUGCAACGCAGAAGUGCCAGUGCUUCUGUGUUAACAUUCACCAGUUUCAUAGAGAGGUACUCACAUUACUGGGGGCAGCCUGUCAGUUGGUCUCCACCAAGUUCUCAGUACCAGCUGACCAGUAUAGUAUCUACCCUGGGAUUACUCCCAGCAGAUACUGGCAGGGACAUAUCCUUAGUACCAUGACAGUGUGUGUAUGUGUGUGUGUGCAUACAUAUAUAUACACAUAUAUCAGCAGGAGACAAAGCACCACAUAUCAAAGUAAGCAAAGUCAUUCACAGAAAGCAAGGAGACCUCCUGAGAGCUACGGAGCAGUUUCUCACAAACACGUUUCUUCUGCAGAAGAUAGAGGCAGCUUACUUGUGUUCCCAGGCUAAGAAGAGCCCUUUCCCGUGGGCUAAUCACCCAUUCAGGCCAUGAUCUACAUUUUUCCACACAACAGCACUCCACAGCUAAUAGAAUUUACCUAUUAGUCUUGCCAUGAUAAAACAACAAACAGCUGUUAAUACCAUUGCCCAUCUUGGUGCAAUCCUUCUCCCAUCAAGAGUCCUUUUCAGUUUAGAGCUGCCUUACUCUCCCAUGGUCUUUCACACCAGCAAAAAAAAUAAACCAGACUGCUUGCAUUUCACUUGGCUCAAAAUGCCAUAGCUAUGAAAACUGUCCUCAUUACCCUUGCAAGAGCUAUUGCAAAGCUCCUUCCUGGGAUACCCUGAUUACUCAUUGCUUUAGAAUUAAGCUGGGAUACUUUGUGCUGCUUGCCAGGAACCCUGUACAAUCUCUACCUUUUGGUGCUUGAUAAUAGGCAGCUACAGAAAUUGGCUGCAGAAGCUAUAGAAUAAAGCAAUGGGUCCUUCAGAGCCCAGGGACCAGGAGCAUCACAGAGACUCAGCUCUUCAUAAUUAACUCUGGUUAGACACAGCCACAGAUGUGCAGCAUCUCAGCAACAAAUGGAGCAUUUGUUCUUCUUUGAUUUGAUAGAAGAGAAGCUCAUGAUAUGACAAGAAAACACCACUUGUAACAACUUCUCUCGCCAUACCCUUUUAUGGCUGUCAAUCAGCCAUCUCUGAGGCUGAGCACAGAGGGUUUGCAGGCUGACUUCCGUAUGCAUCCCACAGUAAAAAUUAUACCUUGGAUGGAGCAGAAAUUUGUUCCUAUAGUCAGGUCUACUGCUUGCUUCAUUUGAAAUUAUGGAAAGAACUAAAAAUCUCAUGCAGAAACCAAGACUCUACUGCAGUUGGCCCUGUGUAAGCACACAGCAAGCAGACUGACUUUGAUUUGAGAAGCUUUCACAGCAGGCUCAGACAGGAUGGAACAGGUGAAGGCAGAAAACAAGACUGGAUAAAUGCUAAAUAACAGUGGCUACCCAGAUUAGAGUAACAAGCAUGCUAAACACACGCUGGAUGGAAAGUAUUCUUGCAUACAUUAAUUUUGAUGUGUAAGCUUUCAAAUAUGCAAAGUAAUCUUAAGCAAGAUGUGAAAAACUUAGCUAGUAAGAUUUGCAAGAUCUCUUUAAGAUCCCAAAAAAUGAAUUUUGGAUAUACAAAAAAUGAACUUUGAGUAUAUCAGCCAGAUAAUUAUGUGUCCAAGAAGACAUUCAGGAUGCCCAGCUAUGCAGGAUUACUUCAUCAGUGUGGGCUUUGCUCCUGAGAAUAAAUGAGCUGAUAUCCAAACAGACUUAAUAUGGUCAUUUCAAUAUGCUUUGUAAACACUGGCUUUGAAGUCUUUCCACACAGGCUUCAUAGGCUUACACAAGUCUGACUGCCAUGGCAGAGCUUUGACUGGGAGGUUUCAAAACAAAACCAUAGCACUGACCUUGGGGUCUGGGUUUGGUUCUAGUGUCUAGAGUCUGUUGCCAAAUGGAUUGGAUGUUUCAAACACACAAGGAGUAAAACAAAUAGAACAGUAGAAAAGAACACGUGCCUCUACUUUUCUUGGAAAUGCACAUUACAAACUUGAGCUUCUAUCUCGGCUGCUUUCUGGUUACUGCCUCAGUGGGAAAUGAUAAAAAUGCAAAAUCAAUACGUUAGGAUCUCCUCAUCGCAAGAGGUGAAACUAAUGGCCUAAAUUUAUGGCUGAUGCAAUUUCAUCGCAGUCACUGCAGAUUCUCUCCAUAUGCUCAGGCUAUUUUACACAUGAUGAAGCUGAAUGGUAUUGAUGGUACUGUGACAGCUGUGAUGUCUUAUUUCAACUCAAAAUCUGUCUGAAAACUUUCCACUCUAUAAUAAUCCUGAGGGGAUAAGUGUAGAAGCAGUGUUGCAUAUCUGAUGCCCAAGUCUUUGUAUUAGAUUUGCAAGAAUAGCACCAAAGAAUUUGCCAAGAAAAAAAGACUUUGAGUACUCUGUAUACAAAUAAGAUAUCACCUGCAACAAAACCACACCUCAAUUAAAACCACAGAUUUUAAAAGAGACAAUGAUGACACCAAUUAAUUAGAUGUGAGACAUGGCUAAUAACGAGAAGUGACAAAAAUCAAUCUCUUCCUUAGUGCACUGACUGCCAGGAAGGGUACGGAUCUCCCAUGACCUGUUCUAACUGAACUUCCAGGUGUCAGUUGACAAAAACAGAGGUUAGCAUUCUUUUCUGCAUUGGAUAAGGUCUUAUCUUUACUUUGCUUUAGAGAAAAAACAAUAGAUGUUUUUGCACUUGGGACUCUAUUCAAGAAAGACAAAAUCAAAGCAUUCUUUCCACCAGUUUUGGAUUAGAACAAACUGAUGGGAUGAGGAUAGAUGGUCUUUGAAGGACUCAGGAGAUAUUAAUUCAAGUAUUGGCUGUGCCAGAGGUUCCCAGGGUGCUCUAGGGAAGACUGCUUCAUCUGCCUGUGGAAGUUUUCCACUUGUGUAGUCAAACGAUGCACUGCUUCCUUUCUACCACCUUCCACCUUUCUCUAGCUUGUCCUUGGAAACUCUUUGGAUAGGAUCCAUCUCAUACAGGAGUUUGUACAGCAUCUGUCACACUGGAGUCCGUACUGAGGUAAAAUUAUGAAGAAGGUCAUAGGAGUGAAUGGAAAACAUGGUUUGUUGGGAAGAAUAUUACUUACUGAAUAUUAUUUGAAAAAACAAGCAGUUCAACUAAGAAAACAUUGAAUAGUUCAUACCGCACUGCUACUCUUCAUUUUAAUUUCCUUAGAUAGAUUGUUCUCACAUUUUGUGCUGAAGGUAAAAAGCCAGAAUUUGUUAAAGUUCUCUUUCUUAAAACGUCGUUGUUAGAAAUGUCCACCAGAAUAUUAGCAGUUCUGAAUUUUUGCCUUAGCAAAAAAAAUAUUUUUUAAUACUUUUUCAUUAAAACAAAACUAUUUGCAUCUUAUGUUACAGUCUUGAAGGUGAAGAAGAAAGCUUUGAGUUACUUUUUUUUGGUUUGCAUUUGAAAUAUGCAAUGCUUUUUUCAGUUUCUGAAAGUACAAGACUCGAUUUUUCUCCUGAAACCACUGCUGGAGCUGAACAUAAGCGUGUUUUACACAUCCUGGAAGAUUCGAUGGGUCAAAUUCAUCACUGGUUCUACACCAUGGCUGCAGUGGAAACAACAAUCCAAAAUGAUCUAAGGAUUUGUUCUGCAAGUUGCCGGACUUCUUCACACCUGCUGCAGUGGGAGGUGGAGGGACUCAGAAGCUUCAAAGGCACAAUGAAUAUCAUAAACUGGGUGCAAAUACAAAGGGUUCACAGGAGGGAAAUGAUUUUCCUCCAGUAAACUUCUGGGCAGGAAAAGCAAGGAGGGAAGAAUAAAAAUGAAAGGAGGUGAAGGGAGAUAGCGAAGAAGUUAGAGAGGAAAGCUGAGGAAUGAGAUGCUGUAUAUGAUUAAGGCCAAACUCAUAGCUGGAACACAGUGACAAGAAACCACAUGGUUUACUGUCAUGGAAGCACUCAAGUGCAUCCGUUAACAUAACGACCCAUCUUUAUGGGAACAACACACAGAAGGGCUUUAAAAUUCAAAUCAUAAAUACUUAAUGCUAAUUUUUUUUUUGCCUGUAACAGAAGUGUGAAUAACAAUAACAGAAAAAGUCACAGUAAAGUCAAAGUCACAGUCAAUUUUGCUGUCUCCGUAGUACAAAAAUAAGGCAACACUACAUGAUGUUAAAAAGGCAUUUCUUUUGUAAUAGCCAAAGAUUUUGUUUUCUACCCAAUGAACAGUCAAGCCACUCAAAGCGUUGCUGUCAUGUUUAAAACCCAGUAUAUACAAGGACUCCAGGCUGGAUUUUCAGUUCUUGUACAAAUAAAUACAUUCCCAAACAUCUGGAAAAAUAAGAGCCACACACUGUUUUCGUAACCAUCUGACAACUAACCAACAGAAACUAUGAGAAAAGUGUGUCCUGGUGGUGCUUCCCUCCCACCAUUUCAGAGUUGCCCACUAAAAUUUCAACUCUGCCUGUUGCCAAAGUCCUGCAAUGGAAGAAAAUACAUUGCUGAUCUGACCUAAGAUUUCCUCCAUCACCUGCAGCAGGGUGACUUGUGAAGAGAUCUGAGCAGAAGGAGUAUUUCAUCCUUUGACUGCAGGGAAUGGGGACAUGGGGAUGAAAUCCAAAGGGCUAACAUAGCAUGAUCCACACAUUUUUUAGAAGGUGUCCAUAGCAGCCAGAAAUUUAAGAAUUAAACCACACUUUCCUGUAGUUAUCUUGUUAUAUGUUAAAAAAGAAGCAUCUCCAAGACCUCCUGUUCAUAUUUGCUACUGUGAGUAGUAGAAAUUAGUUCUAUAUUAAGCUUUAAUGAUAAAACACAGCAUUGGCAUCAUGAAGAUGUUUGUGUAUGAAUGAUUCAAAGGCGCUUUGCAAGAACAGACAAGUUAACCUGUAAGGCAGUGCUGAAUAAGUACUCAGCCAGGAUCAGAAGAACAGACAGCACAGUGCAUCAGUUAAAAAUGAGGAAGGUUUUGGAGCUUGUACAAAAAUACAAACAGUUGUGGGGGUGAGAGAAAAUACCAGGUGACUAGCUGAAGGCAAUAGCUGUACCAAACCCGGCCAAAGGAGAUCCUGCUGAUCAAAAUAAUUAUGGAGGUGUAAGCUUAUUGUCAGUACUGAGAAAAAUUCUGAUGAAGGCAACAGUCAACAGAUCAAAGCCAGCUCUAGACAGAGCAGUGAGAGAAAAAUGGUGUGGCUUCAGACCAGGGUAAAGUUGUAUUAAUCAGAUAUUCAGAUUUUUACAGCUGACAGAAAAAGGAAGAAUGAGGUUCAAAAGUGUUUGCUAUCUUCCUUGAUGCCAUGAAAGCAUUUCAUUCGGUUCAGAAGGCACUAUUAUAGAACACAGUAGAAAUGAUACAACAGUCAGGUAAGCAUAUCGGUAGUAUAAAUGCUGGGAACUCCUGCAGUGCUAUAGGAAUCAGCAGAAAAAUCAAGCAACUGGUUCAAACCCAGCCUGGUAUGAAACAAAAGACCAGGAAUUCACCAACACUUUCAACAUAUACUUCAAAUAGACCUUAGGAUAGUAAAUGAGCUAAAGCACGUGACAAAGGAAGAUCUAAAUUUCACAUUCACAAAUAACAUUGCAUAACUUUCAGAUAAAUGAGGCAAAACUGAUUAUCUUUGCAAAAUGACAAAAUCGCUGUAGUCAACUCAGGUUUUAGCAUCUACCAGUAAUAUAAAGUAUUUCCCUUUAGGAAAAAAAAUGAAACACUUUUUAAUAUAUUCAGAGAACUUAACCACUACUAAGGAAAAGUAGGAAAACAAGACAUACUUAGGCAGAAGCUUAUAGUAUGAAAGCAUGUAUUUAAGAAAGAACAUUAAUGACCUACAGAUCAGUCA